rnacentral:tRNA from 1 species
AGGGAUGUAGCUCAGUGGUAGAGCACUUGCCUAAUAUGCAUGAAACCCUGGGUUCAAAUCUCAGCAUCAAAA